rnacentral:rRNA from 1 species
UACGGGGGGGGCAAGCGUUGUUCGGAAUUACUGGGCGUAAAGGGCGCGUAGGCGGCCUGCUAAGUCGAACGUGAAAUCCCCGAGCUCAACUCGGGAACUGCGUCCGAUACUGGCAGGCUUGAAUCCGGGAGAGGGAUGCGGAAUUCCAGGUGUAGCGGUGAAAUGCGCAGAUAUCAGGAGGAACACCGGUGGCGAAGGCGGCUCUCUGGGACGGUACUGACGCUGAGACGCGAAAGCGUGGGGAGCGAACAGG